rnacentral:rRNA from 1 species
UACGUAGGGCGCGAGCGUUGUCCGGAAUUAUUGGGCGUAAAGAGCUCGUAGGCGGCUUGUUGCGUCUGCUGUGAAAUCCCGGGGCUUAACCCCGGGCGUGCAGUGGAUACGGGCAGGCUGGAGGCAGGCAGGGGAGAAUGGAAUUCCCGGUGUAGCGGUGAAAUGCGCAGAUAUCGGGAGGAACACCGGUGGCGAAGGCGGUUCUCCGGGCCUGUUCUGACGCUGAGGAGCGAAAGCGUGGGGAGCGAACAGG